CUCCUUUGACGUUAGCGGCGGACGGGUGAGUAACACGUGGGUAACCUACCUAUAAGACUGGGAUAACUUCGGGAAACCGGGGCUAAUACCGGAUAAUAUUUCGAACCGCAUGGUUCGAUAGUGAAAGAUGGUUUUGCUAUCACUUAUAGAUGGACCCGCGCCGUAUUAGCUAGUUGGUAAGGUAACGGCUUACCAAGGCGACGAUACGUAGCCGACCUGAGAGGGUGAUCGGCCACACUGGAACUGAGACACGGUCCAGACUCCUACGGGAGGCAGCAGGC
rnacentral:rRNA from 1 species